rfam:Acanthisitta chloris contig77158, whole genome shotgun sequence.
GGCUUUUCCCCCCACUCCUGCGGGCGUAGGUUACAGAGAAGCUCGUGGGCUCUGGGGGAAGAGCU